GUUGUUUCUCUUUACGACUAGGGCUAACACGCUGCUACAAUGGCGCAUACAAAGAGAAGCGACCUCGCGAGAGCAAGCGGACCUCAUAAAGUGCGUCGUAGUCCGGAUUGGAGUCUGCAACUCGACUCCAUGAAGUCGGAAUCGCUAGUAAUCGUGGAUCAGAAUGCCACGGUGAAUACGUUCCCGGGCCUUGUACACACCGCCCGUCACACCAUGGGAGUGGGUUGCAAAAGAAGUAGGUAGCUUAACCUUCGGGAGGGCGCUUACCACUUUGUGAUUCAUGACUGGGGUGAAGUCGUAACAAGGUAACCGUAGGGGAACCUGCGGUUGGAUCACCUCCUAAAAGG
rnacentral:rRNA from 1 species